rnacentral:rRNA from 1 species
CCUACGGGUGGCAGCAGUAGGGAAUUUUCCACAAUGGGCGAAAGCCUGAUGGAGCAACGCCGCGUGGGUGAUGAAGGUCUUCGGAUCGUAAAACCCUGUUGUUAGAGAAGAAAGUGCGCGAGAGUAACUGUUUACGUUUCGACGGUAUCUAACCAGAAAGCCACGGCUAACUACGUGCCAGCAGCCGCGGUAAUACGUAGGUGGCAAGCGUUAUCCGGAUUUAUUGGGCGUAAAGGGAACGCAGGCGGUCUUUUAAGUCUGUUGUGAAAGCCUUCGGCUUAACCGGAGGAUUGCAUUGGAUACUGGCAACCUUGAGUGCAGAAGAGGUAAGUGGAAUUCCAGGUGUAGCGGUGAAAUGCGUAGAUAUAUGGAAGAACACCAAUGGCGAAGGCAGCUCUCUGGUCUGUAACUGACGCUGAGGUUCGAAAGCGUGGGUAGCAAACAGGAUUAGAUACCCUUGUAGUC